rnacentral:rRNA from 1 species
AUCCUACGGGAGGCAGCAGUGAGGAAUAUUGGUCAAUGGGCGGGAGCCUGAACCAGCCAAGUCGCGUGAGGGAUGACGGCCCUAUGGGUUGUAAACCUCUUUUGCCGGGGAGCAAAGUGCCGCACGUGUGCGGUUUGGAGAGUACCCGGAGAAAAAGCAUCGGCUAACUCCGUGCCAGCAGCCGCGGUAAUACGGAGGAUGCGAGCGUUAUCCGGAUUUAUUGGGUUUAAAGGGUGCGCAGGCGGGAGAUCAAGUCAGCGGUAAAAUGUCGGGGCUCAACCCCGGCCGGCCGUUGAAACUGGUUU